UGAGGAAUAUUGGUCAAUGGGCGAGAGCCUGAACCAGCCAAGUAGCGUGCAGGACGACGGCCCUAUGGGUUGUAAACUGCUUUUAUAAGGGAAUAAAGUGAGUCUCGUGAGACUUUUUGCAUGUACCUUAUGAAUAAGGACCGGCUAAUUCCGUGCCAGCAGCCGCGGUAAUACGGAAGGUCCGGGCGUUAUCCGGAUUUAUUGGGUUUAAAGGGAGCGUAGGCCGGAGAUUAAGCGUGUUGUGAAAUGUAGACGCUCAACGUCUGCACUGCAGCGCGAACUGGUUUCCUUGAGUACGCACAAAGUGGGCGGAAUUCGUGGUGUAGCGGUGAAAUGCUUAGAUAUCACGAAGAACUCCGAUUGCGAAGGCAGCUCACUGGAGCGCAACUGACGCUGAAGCUCGAAAGUGCGGGUAUCGAACAGGAUUAGAUACCCUGGUAGUCCGCACGGUAAACGAUGGAUGCCCGCUGUUGGUCUGAAUAGGUCAGCGGCCAAGCGAAAGCAUUAAGCAUCCCACCUGGGGAGUACGCCGGCAACGGUGAAACUCAAAGGAAUUGACGGGGGCCCGCACAAGCGGAGGAACAUGUGGUUUAAUUCGAUGAUACGCGAGGAACCUUACCCGGGCUUGAAUUGCAGAGGAAGGAUUUGGAGACAAUGACGCCCUUCGGGGCCUCUGUGAAGGUGCUGCAUGGUUGUCGUCAGCUCGUGCCGUGAGGUGUCGGCUUAAGUGCCAUAACGAGCGCAACCCCUCUCCUUAGUUGCCAUCAGGUCAUGCUGGGCACUCUGGGGACACUGCCACCGUAAGGUGUGAGGAAGGUGGGGAUGACGUCAAAUCAGCACGGCCCUUACGUCCGGGGCUACACACGUGUUACAAUGGCAGGUACAGAGAGACGGUCCCUUGCAAAAGGGAUCAAAUCCUCAAAGCCUGUCUCAGUUCGGACUGGGGUCUGCAACCCGACCCCACGAAGCUGGAUUCGCUAGUAAUCGCGCAUCAGCCAUGGCGCGGUGAAUACGUUCCC
rnacentral:rRNA from 1 species